UUUCCGUAGGUGAACCUGCGGAAGGAUCAUUCAUAAUAAAGUGUUUUAUGGCACUUUUUAAAAAUCCAUAUCCACCUUGUGUGCAAUGUUAGAUCUCGUCAAUCUUGGCGAGAUUUUUAUACAUCAACUCAUUCUUUAACUAAUUUGUCUGAAAAAUAUUAUUAAUACUUAAUUCAAAAUACAACUUUCAACAACGGAUCUCUUGGCUCUC
rnacentral:misc_RNA from 1 species